rnacentral:tRNA from 1 species
UCCCAGGUGACUCAGCGGUAAAGCAUCUGCCUGCCAAGCAGGAGACACAGGUUCAAUCUCUGAGCUGGGAA